UACGGGGGGGGCAAGCGUUGUUCGGAAUUACUGGGCGUAAAGGGCUUGUAGGUGGCCAACUAAGUCGGAUGUGAAAUCCCCAGGCUUAACCUGGGAACUGCAUCCGAUACUGGAUGGCUUGAAUCCGGGAGAGGGAUGCAGAAUUCCAGGUGUAGCGGUGAAAUGCGUAGAUAUCUGGAGGAAUACCGGUGGCGAAGGCGGCAUCCUGGACCGGCAUUGACGCUGAGUGAGCGAAAGCCAGGGGAGCAAACGGG
rnacentral:rRNA from 1 species